UGCCGCAUGUUCUUUUGGGAAAGAUUCAUCGGUAUGGGAUGGGGUCGCGUCCUAUCAGCUUGAUGGCGGGGUAACGGCCCACCAUGGCUUCGACGGGUAGCCGGCCUGAGAGGGCGACCGGCCACAUUGGGACUGAGAUACGGCCCAGACUCCUACGGGAGGCAGCAGUGGGGAAUAUUGCACAAUGGGCGCAAGCCUGAUGCAGCGACGCCGCGUGCGGGAUGACGGCCUUCGGGUUGUAAACCGCUUUUGACUGGGAGCAAGCCCUUCGGGGUGAGUGUACCUUUCGAAUAAGCACCGGCUAACUACGUGCCAGCAGCCGCGGUAAUACGUAGGGUGCAAGCGUUAUCCGGAAUUAUUGGGCGUAAAGGGCUCGUAGGCGGUUCGUCGCGUCCGGUGUGAAAGUCCAUCGCUUAACGGUGGAUCCGCGCCGGGUACGGGCGGGCUUGAGUGCGGUAGGGGAGACUGGAAUUCCCGGUGUAACGGUGGAAUGUGUAGAUAUCGGGAAGAACACCACCCC
rnacentral:rRNA from 1 species